AUGCACGCUGGCUGCGUGCCUCAUACCUGCAAGUCGAGCGAACAGACGAGGAGCUUGCUCCUCUGACGUUAGCGGCGGACGGGUGAGUAACACGUGGAUAACCUACCUAUAAGACUGGGAUAACUUCGGGAAACCGGAGCUAAUACCGGAUAAUAUAUUGAACCGCAUGGUUCAAUAGUGAAAGACGGUUUUGCUGUCACUUAUAGAUGGAUCCGCGCCGCAUUAGCUAGUUGGUAAGGUAACGGCUUACCAAGGCGACGAUGCGUAGCCGACCUGAGAGGGUGAUCGGCCACACUGGAACUGAGACACGGUCCAGACUCCUACGGGAGGCAGCAGUAGGGAAUCUUCCGCAAUGGGCGAAAGCCUGACGGAGCAACGCCGCGUGAGUGAUGAAGGUCUUCGGAUCGUAAAACUCUGUUAUUAGGGAAGAACAAAUGUGUAAGUAACUAUGCACGUCUUGACGGUACCUAAUCAGAAAGCCACGGCUAACUACGUG
rnacentral:rRNA from 1 species